rnacentral:rRNA from 1 species
UGAACGCUAGCGGCAUGGAUAAGGCAUGCAAGUCGAGCGGUGAACCCGCCUUCGGGCGGGGGAUCAGCGGCGAACGGGUGAGUAACGCGUGAGCAACCUGCCCCCGACACCGGGAUAGCCUUGGGAAACCGGGGUUAAUAUCGGAUGCUGUGCAACGGCGUAUGCUGUUGUAUGAAAGAUUGAGUUCGGUCGGGGAGGGGCUCGCGUCCCAUUAGCUUGUUGGCGGGGUAACGGCCCACCAAGGCUAAGAUGGGUAGCUGGUCUGAGAGGAUGGUCAGCCACACUGGGACUGAGACACGGCCCAGACUCCUGCGGGAGGCUGCAGUCGAGAAUAUUCGGCAAUGGGCGCAAGCCUGACCGAGUGAUGCCGCGUGGGGGAUGAAGGCCUUCGGGUUGUAAACCCCUGUCACCAGGGACGAAAUUUGACGGUACCUGGAGAGGAAGCACCGGCUAACUACGUGCCAGCAGCCGCGGUAACACGUAGGGUGCGAGCGUUAUCCGGAAUUACUGGGCGUAAAGGGUCCGUAGGGGGUCUGCCAAGUCUGGUGUGAAAGCCCGUGGCUCAACCACGGAAGUGCAUUGGAAACUGGUGGGCUGGAGUGCACGAGGGGAAAGCGGAAUUCCCGGUGUAGCGGUGGAAUGCGUAGAUAUCGGGAAGAACACCUGCGGCGAAAGCGGCUUUCUGGCGUGACACUGACCCUGAGGGACGAAAGCGUGGGUAGCGAACGGGAUUAGAUACCCCGGUAGUCCACGCCGUAAACGUUGUGCGCUCGAUAUGGACGGCAUCCAGUGUCGCCCGUGUCCAAGCUAACGCGUUAAGCGCACCGNCUGGGGACUACGGCCGCAAGGCUAAAACUCAAAGGAAUUGACGGGGGCCCGCACAACCGGUGGAGCAUG